AGCCCCGAGGUGUAAUGCAUGUCAGAUUGCAAAUCUGAAGGAGUAGACUAGUCGUCUACCGGGGCUU
rnacentral:tRNA from 1 species